rnacentral:rRNA from 1 species
UUGGCGGACGGGUGAGUAACGCGUGGAAAACCUGCCGUAUACUGGGGGAUAACACUUAGAAAUAGGUGCUAAUACCGCAUAAGCGCACAGCUUCGCAUGAAGCGGUGUAGAAAAACUCUGGUGGUAUACGAUGGUUCCGCGUCUGAUUAGCUAGUUGGGUGGGGUAAUGGCCUACCAAGGCAACGAUCAGUAGCCGGCCUGAGAGGGUGAACGGCCACAUUGGGACUGAGACACGGCCCAAACUCCUACGGGAGGCAGCAG